rnacentral:rRNA from 1 species
GACGUAGGGCGCGAGCGUUGUCCGGAUUUAUUGGGCGUAAAGAGCUCGUAGGCGGCUCGUUGCGUCAGCUGUGAAAAACCCGCAGCUUAACUGUGGGCUUGCAGCUGAUACGGGCGAGCUGGAGUUCGGUAGGGGAGACUGGAAUUCCUGGUGUAGCGGUGAAAUGCGCAGAUAUCAGGAGGAACACCGGUGGCGAAAGGCGGGGUCUCUGGGGCCCGAUACUGACGCUUGGAGGAGCGAAAAGCGUGGGGGGAGCGAACAGG